GAGGAUGAGGGCGGCCGCCAUUUUGAAACGAACAGACUCCAAAAGCACGCUCCACUGGGCCUGCCCCUGCGAUCUUAAAACAGAUGUCCGUGAAAUGUGACCCAUGAAUAGCAGUUAUCUGGAGAGAGAGCUCUGAAGCUGAUGAAACCAUUAGAGCCACUGAAGGCACCUGGUAAAUGCGAUGCGGGGAGUACAGAAGAGAGAAUCAGAAACACACCGGCACUCUCAUUCCCAUGAGGCCACUUACAGUGGGUAAAACGUCGCUUGAGAAGAGCGGCUCCAGCCUGAAUGAGAAGCACGUCCUCCUGGGAGUUACGUCAGCAGCCUGACCUUCCAUCUUCCUCCUCUAAAGAAGCGUCCCUGCCACCCUGAGCACGAAGCCCUCGGGUUCCUAAAGGCCGAGGCGCUUCUUCUCAUUUACUUCCCUUGAGGAAGAAAGACCAGCCCAUCCACCCUCAUUUCCCACCGAAGGGCAUCGCAAAUAAAGUUUGCCCACGCAACCAGGCCACCACCAUUAAUUUCUCUCUGCCCUGCUCUUACAUUCUCCUCAAGGUUUUCAGUCCCCUAGAGAGGCUCCCUUCCCUCUUUUCUUUCCUUCCUCCAGCCCCCCUUUUCACCUCCCUCCACCAUUGUUUGAGGUUAAGAAGCAUGCUACGGUGUUCUAUAAAUCACUUGGCAAGAGUAGACGACAAAAGCAAAAUAUAAUUCAGAUUAAAGUCAUCCUCCCGCUGAAAUGAUAGUUUCUUAAAUAAAUGGCGAUGCUGCCUAUCAAUCUUGCUGGCAA
rnacentral:lncRNA from 1 species